AAGAUUGUAGGUAAUGUGUCUGUAGAAACUGAGUCCAUUAUUUGCUUUUAUAAUAUGCUGUUGCUGUUUCUUUCCGCUAUAGAUUUUUCUCGUAAAUGUAAUCUAAAAAUAAACUUCCAGUUAAGACAAUGAAAUAGAAGAACUUCAUGCUUACACUUGCAUCAGUGGAAGAACUUCAUAUUGGAUAGCGAACCUUGCAAGUAACAAAAAGCCUGAAAUGAGAGCGCUUAAGAACAAUGAGAAGUUUGAUGCAUAGAUGGGAAUUGGCCACUUUUGUAUAUAUAAGUCUACAUCGUCCCAGAUUCGACCAAAGACAUUUAUUUGCUGCUAUGAAUGACGUUCAGCUGCAGGCCUUUAAGUCUCACACAAGAUGCUGGUUCAGUCGCACGAAUGGUCACUGGAAUUCACAAGAGUCACUGGAAAAAUUAGGAGAACCAGUUGAAGUUGCUCAGGUUGAUAUAUUUACAGACAUUUAUCCAGUUUGGAACAUUCAGCAGACAGUGAUGUACAUUUAAAUCAUUAUAAAUAUUAGAGAGGGGCUGUUUUUGCCAGAGAGCUUGGCUGUGAUACACAACUUAAGAUUUUGUACAGUGUAAAUUGUAAGGGUGUUCAAGAUGCAUGUACAGUGUGCACUGAAUGUCAUUAAACUGUAAGAUUUGAGUUAUAAGCUUUUUAUUAAGCUCACAUAAUUAUAGACUUCUCAGAGCUGGCUUAUUUUUACCUACGGUAGCUAUAUAUGAGUGAUCACUGAAAAGUACAUGACACAUUUAAGUACAAAAGUUAUUAUCCCCCGACGGAGGAAUAUAGUCUUGGCGUUGUCCGUCCUUCAGUCCGUCUUUCCGUCCGUCCGUCCGGAGCCAUAUCUAGAAAAUGGUUGGGAAUAUUUAUUUAAAACUUCAUAUACAUGUUAACCAUUAUGCGUUCUUGCGGCCCAUUAAGUUUCAGUCAGAUUGCCCUAGUAACAUCAGAGUUAUGGCUCUUAGAAAUUUCUAGUGUUAACUAUAUAGAGUACUAUAAAUAUGGCAAUUUCUGCAUCAUAACUUUUGAUAUAUUUGACCUAUAACUAUGAAACUUAAACAGAAUUUAGAUCACCAUAAUGUGGUUGUGUACACACAGUUUAGUUUGGAUGUAUGUGUAAAUUAAGAGUUAUUGCCCUUUAAUUGUAUAAAAAUCCAUAUAUUUGUACAUAACAAACUUACCAUUUGGUAGAAUUUCAUUAAAUUUCUUUCAUUCUUUUCCAUGAACAUAUAUUGUAAACAUGUGAAGUUGUGUACCCGCACCUGGUCACCCCCUUACCUUGAUCACACCCUUCCCCUCCCGAUCCCCCGGCACGCCCCCGCCCCCCCCCCCCCCCACCCCCCCAAAAAAAUCAUUCCUUAUUUUAGAUAUUUUUCAAAAAAAACUUAAUAUACAUGUUCACCACAAUGAGGUUAUGAGGCCCAUCAAGUUUUAGAAAGAUUGCCCAAGUAACACCAGAGUUAUGGCCCUAAGAAGUUUCUAGUGUUAACUAUAUAGGGUACUAUAGAUAUGGCAAUUUCUGCAUCAUAACUUUUGAUAUAUUUGACCUUGAACUAUGAAACUUUAACAGAAUUUAGAGCUCUAUAAUGUGGUUGUGCGCACACAAUUUCGUACGAAUUUCUUUUGUAACUUCAGAGUUAUUGCCCUUUAAUUGUCUAAAAAUCCACAUAUUUGUACAUAACAAACUUCCCAUUUGGCAGAAUUUCAUUAAAUUUCUUUCAUUCUUUUUUGUGAACAUUUCUUAUAACAUGUGAAGUUGCGCACCCACACCUGGUCACCCACUUGCCUUGGUCACACACC